GUAUUUGCUUCCAGCAUAUAUGCUAAAAUUGGAACAAGACAGGGAAGAUUAGCAUGGCACCUGCACAAGGGUGACACACAAAUUCAUGAAGUGUUCCAUAUUUUA
ensembl:snRNA U6 U6 spliceosomal RNA